rnacentral:tRNA from 1 species
UGCAUCGCCCGAGAAUCGAACCCGGGGUGCCUGCGUGGUAGGCGAGCAUUCUACCACUGAACCAAAAGC